rnacentral:rRNA from 1 species
CUCAAAGGAAUUGACGGGGGCCCGCACAAGCGGUGGAACAUGUGGUUUAAUUCGACACUACGCGAGGAACCUUACCUGGGCUUGACAUGUUUUUGACAGUCGUAGAAAUACGAUCUUCUAGGCUUCGGUCUAGACAAUUACACAGGUGCUGCAUGGCUGUCGUCAGCUCGUGUCGUGAGAUGUUGGGUUAAGUCCUCUAACGAGCGCAACCCCUGCUGUCAGUUGCUACUUGCUUCGGCAAGGCACUCUGACGGGACUGCCUGGGAAACCAGGAGGAAGGUGGGGAUGACGUCAAGUCCUCAUGGCCCUUAUGUCCAGGGCUACACACGUGUUACAAUGGCCAGGUACAACGGGCUGCAAGCUCGCGAGAGUAAGCAAACCCCUUAAAACUGGUCUAAGUUCGGAUUGGAGUCUGCAACUCGACUCCAUGAAGUUGAAAUCGCUAGUAAUCGCGUAUCAGCAAUGACGCGGUGAAUACGUUCUCGGGCCUUGUACACACCGCCCGUCACGCCAUGAGAGUUGUUUGUACCCAAAAACACUUUAGCUAACC